UACGUAGGUGGCAAGCGUUGUCCGGAUUUACUGGGUGUAAAGGGCGUGCAGCCGGGCUGACAAGUCAGAUGUGAAAUCCCGCGGCUCAACCGCGGAACUGCAUUUGAAACCGUUAGUCUUGAGUACCGGAGAGGUCAUCGGAAUUCCUUGUGUAGCGGUGAAAUGCGUAGAUAUAAGGAAGAACACCAGUGGCGAAGGCGGAUGACUGGACGGCAACUGACGGUGAGGCGCGAAAGCGUGGGGAGCAAACAGG
rnacentral:rRNA from 1 species